UACAGAGGUCCCAAGCGUUGUUCGGAUUCACUGGGCGUAAAGGGUGCGUAGGCGGUCGGGUAAGUCUGGCGUGAAAUCUCCAAGCCUAACUUGGAAACUGCGUUGGAUACUAUCCGGCUCGAGGAAUGGAGGGGAGACUGGAAUACUUGGUGUAGCAGUGAAAUGCGUAGAUAUUACGAAGAACACCAAUGGCGAAGGCAGCUUGCUGGGCCGACCCUGACGCUGAGGUACGAAAGCGUGGGGAGCGAACAGG
rnacentral:rRNA from 1 species